rnacentral:lncRNA from 7 species
GGAGGCAGGCCUGGGCCAUGACUCCAACCAGACAGUCAGCCAAGGCAGGCAGGCAGGAGCUGCGACUCCAGUCAGGCAGCCAAGGCAGGCAGGCAGGGACAUGACUCCAGCCAGUCGGACAAGACAGGCAGGAAGGGGCUUUGUCUACAGCCAUCCAGCCUAGGCAGGCAGGCCUGGGCCAUGACUCCAACCAGCCAGUCAGCCAAGGCAGGCAGGAAGGGGCCAUGACUGCAGCCAGUCACCUAAGGCAGGCAGGCAGGGGCUGUGUCUCCAGCCGGUGAGCCUAUGCAGGCUACACGUGGGUCAUGACUCCAACCAGCCAGUCAGCCAAGGCAGUCAGGCAGGGGCCACGACUCCAACCGGUCAGCCAAGGCAGGCAGGCAGGCCAAGGCCAUGACCCACCAGCCAGCUAGCAGGACAGGGCCAUGACCCAGCCAGCCAGCUAAGCAC